AAAAAAAAAGAAAAAAAAAGUUAUCAUGUUGCUCAAGUUGGCCGAAUAGAGGAAAGAAAGGAAGGGAAAAAGCUUGGAGAAAAUCGGCUAUGGUGGUUCACUAGAUUAAGGUAUGUUUAGUGUUGCUUUGAAAGUUCAUACAUCCCUUGGAUGAUUAGUCUAAAUUCUAAUUAUCUUAUGGAUGGAUUUGGGGUUAUUAGAGAGUUAGUAUUUGACUAAGAGGCUUCAAAAGUUUUAGUUGAAGCCUUGAUACCAUUAGCAUGUUAGCUAUAUGGAUGUGUUAUGAUGCUUGAGGUGUUAGAUAAAUUUGAACUCAUCACCAAGUUCUUUAAGCAACCCAAGUUGAAAGUUUCGGUAUUGAGGUAUCUUGAGCAUUCGGCCAUGGUAGGAGGUAGAAGAGAAAUAUGGUUGUUGUUAGAUGAAGUAGAGUCUAACAAAUGAGCUCAUAUGUGCAUUAGUUGCUAGAUGGAGAAGAAUCGGCUAGCAAGUUGUGUGCUAAGGCCGAAUAUAAUUUUGAACAUUAGUGAGUAAUGUAUGUGUUUUGAAAUUGAUGGAAUGGAGUGUAUGCUUAUAUUGUAUUAUGAAAAAUUAUAUGUUAAAUCAAGGUUUGCUAAGCUAGCUAUUAAGGUGAAGUGCAAAUGUUAGUAUUUGAUUACUAGUGUAUAUAUAUGUGUAUUAGCCGAGUUUUGAACUUGAACCAAAAUGGUAUUUAAUCAAUACAAGUGACCAUAUUUGUAGAAUGUAUUAAGUAUACAAUCGGCCUCAACAUAGACAUGCAUAUUCGGCCACAUGAAUGAGUACAUAGGUUGAUGUGUAUGUCCGGCCAUAGGUAAGCAUAUUGAUGGCUUUAUCUCGACUUAGAAAAUUCGGCUAAGGAGAAUAUUGGCUAAUAUGUUGAAUUUGAUUUGUGAUUUCAUACAUAUAUGACUCUAAUGCCUAAUAUAUAAGGGCUAAGUACCUUGAAUUCCUCUUUGAUGUUCAAAAUGAUUAAAUCAAUUUAUUUUUUGAUAUUAAGCUCAAGAGAAAACGGGAACUAAAUCCGAUAAAGAAAAGGAAAAGGGUGAUCGAAUAGCCGUUGAAAUCGUUCAACAGCAUCCGAGGUAAGUUUUAAGUGAUUAAACGUUGAGUAAAUUCAGUCAUAAUAGGACAUAAUGGUUGAUUUAAUAAGAUAUGAUGUGGCCAUGAUAUGUCUUAAACUCAAAUGGUAAGUUCAUAAGUGUUUGGACUUGGAAAUUUAAGAGCAAAUUGUAAUAAUUUGCUUAGGACAGCAGCAGUAACAUGAUUUUAGAAAAUCACUAUAAAUUGUUGGUGUGGAAUUAUAGGCUGAAUAAAAUAUGUAAUCAAAGCUUAAUUAGUAUAGUUUCUUAUAAAAGAGACCGUGUAAGCAAAGAAACUUCCUAUAAAGAGAUAUUUAAAGUUGUGUGAGAUAGUGUCAGAAUGACUCCGAAAUCCCCUGUUCUGUUUUUAGAAAAUCAUUAUAAUUUGUACAAAAAUGGUUAUAAGAUAAAAUUUAUGUGAUUAGACUCCUUAAUGAGUCUAGUUUCAAAUGAAAUCAAAUAGAACAUAUUUUGAAUUCUGUACAGUGAGAAAUUUGAUUCAUAGUGAAGAAUGGUCAGGUUAGUCAAACAGUGAAACAGGGGAAACUUUACGAAAAAUCUGGUAUUGAUUGGCCAAACCUAAAAUUCUUAAAAUUUUAUGGUUGGAAGAUAUAUGAGUCUAUAUUCAGGGAAAAUUAACGGCAAUUGAUUUUAAGUUUUGUAGCUCUAGUUAUAAAUAAUUUAGUGACUAUUGCUCAGGAAAACAGCUUGUGGUGAAUAUGUGAAUUUGUUGUAAACAUUGAUGAAACUAUUUGAGUUGCUUAUAAGCUAUGGCUGAAAUUGAUGUACAAGAUAAAUAUAUAUGUGUGUGGUGAAGCCGAAUGGCUAAUGUGAAAUAUAUGUGUGAUAUGUGUAUGUGGUAAAGCCGAAUGGCGAAUGUGAAAUAUGUAUGAGAUAUGUAUAUGUGGUAAAGCCGAAUGGCUAAUGUGAAAUAUAUAUGAGAUAUGUAUAUGUGGUAAAGCCGAAUGGCUAAUGUGAAAUAUAUGUGUGAUAUGUAUAUGUGGUAAAGCCGAAUGGCGAAUGUGAAAUAUGUAUGAGAUAUGUAUAUGUGGUAAAGCCGAAUGGCUAAUGUGAAAUAUAUAUGAGAUAUGUAUAUGUGGUAAAGCCGAAUGGCGAAUGUGAAAUAUGUAUGAGAUAUGUAUAUGUGGUAAAGCCGAAUGGCGAAUGUGAAAUAUGCAUGAGAUAUUUAUAUGUGGUAAAGCCGAAUGGCUAAUGUGAAAUAUAUGUGUGGUAUGUAUAUGUGGUAAAGCCGAAUGGCUAAUGUGAAAUAUAUAUGAGAUAUGUAUAUGUGGUAAAGCCGAAUGGCGAAUGUGAAAUAUGUAUGAGAUAGGUAUAAGUGGUAAAGCCGAAUGGCUAAUGUGAAUGUUGUAACAUGUGAUUAAAUGUACAUGAAACUUGGAAAUGUAUUCCGGGUAAGACCCGAUGACUACGUGUGGAGAUUUUGUCCGGGUAAGACCCGAUGACUACGUGCGGAGAUUUUGUCCGGGUAAGACCCGAUAACUACGUGUGGGGACUAUUCGAGCUAAAGGUUUUGCUGAAGAUUCGAGUAAAGCAUAGGAUUAUACGACUUCACAGUAUCAACUGGUAAUAAAUACGUUCAAUGCGUUAAGUUGGUCAGGUAUGUAUUUUGAGAUUAUAUUUAAGCGUGAUUUGGACUAAAUCACAAGGUCGUUAUGUGAUGCAUAUGUGAGUAAAGCAAUAAGACUGUUCUAUGAUUAUUGUGCGUUUGGUCAAUGUGGAAAGUUAGGCGAAAAUAUGUAAUGUACCUAUGUUUAUAAGAGAUCACUAUCAAGUGAGAAUUUAUCUGCCUAUUAUAUAUGAUGAGAUGGGCAUAUUCGGUAAAGGGAUGGUAUGCCCGACGGAAGAGUGAAAUAAAAAUACGAACGACUAGGUUAUAAUUUGAUUGUUAUCUGUUGACACUGCUCAAAACUUACUAAGCAUUCAAUGCUUAUUUUGUUUCUUUGAUUCUCUGUUUUAUAGAUUUUGGUUCGUCAGCUAUCGGACUCGGGAUUGUCGAAGUCGAAGUCGUCCACACUAUCAAAGCCCCUUUUGGUACACUUUUGGUUGAACUUUGAAAUGGCAUGUAUAGGACUACCCUUUUUGUUGUUGGUCAUGUACCCUUGGGUUUUGUAUAAAUUCGGAUAGCCAUGCGAAAAUGGCUUAUAUACACUUUGGGCAUAGUAUUAUAAUCGUUUUGUAUGUUGUUUAUUAAGAGGUAUGGAAAUGUUUGGAAACGAUUAGCCAUUGGAAUGGUUAAUCAUGAUCAUAUUUUGUGCUAUAUAUGCUAAAGGGCUAGUUGAAUCAUGGAAACUAUUAAAUAGGUAAAGUCUACCUUAAAGGCAGAUGCUGACGGCAACAGUGGUGUAAAUUUGAAAAAUCACUAAAAUUAGUAGGAAUGUAAUUAAAUAGUGAAUAAAUUAUUUAAUAGAACCUUGAUGAAUCUACUUUCAUAUGGAAGAAACGAAAAGAUCAUAUGAGUCAUAUGUUAAUAGAUAUUUAAGUUUUCGUGAAAUAGGGCCAGAACAGUUUUUGGAUUCCCUGUUCCGACUUUUGAAAUUCAUUAUAAAUUAACCAGAGAUAAUUAGAAGUCAUGCCAUAUAUGUAUAGAUUCCUUUUCGAGUCUAGUUUCUAUAGAAACAAACGACAUCAGUAUUGAAGCCUUGUACAGGGAGAUAUCCAAGUUGUAGUGUGUGAAGGUAAGAGUAGUCGAACCCUGAAACAGGGGAGACUUUAACUAAUAAACUGUACUAAUUGGCUCGACCAAAAAUUCUAAAAAAAAUUUUUUACAUGAAUAUAUGAGUAUAGUUUCAGGAAAAAUUUACGAAACUGGUUUUCGAGUUUUGAAACUCAAGAUAUGAUUUUUAAGGCGACAGUGAUGCAAUAACCAGCUUGUCUGGAAAUUUUUUUAAUGGACUGUGAAAAUAAAUGUAUUAUGCCUGUUAGCACCUCGUGUUCGACUCCGACAACGGUCUCGGGUACGGGGUGUUACAAUUAAAUUGGUAUCAGAGCUACGGUUUAGUCGAUUCUAGGACUACCGUAAUACGUUUAGGUCUAGCUGUACAUGCCAUUAUGUGAUUAUUUGAUAGUGUGGUGAUUUCUGACAAUUGAAAAUGUGUUUGUUGUAUUGUAAUGAAUUUUGAUCCCGAUUGAGCUGUAGCAAGCUUCUGGCUAUGAGAAUUUGCGAUAUAACUUCACUUGGAUAUGCUUAAAUCAUUAAGUUGAUCAGGUACGUAUCAUGUACCCGUAUUUGAAUUUUGAUUUGGAUUGAAUUAUAAGGGUAUAAGUGAUGCAAUUUUGAAAGAGUGUUACGACUGUGAAUGUGAUCUUUGUAUGUGGCUAUGGAACUAAAAGUCGAAUAGCCGAUAAGCAUGUUGUGUUUGUAUUCAAGUAAUGUAAAUGAUAUACUAAUGUGUAUUGUUAUAUAUGUAUAUGCACAUGAGAAUUGAGAGUUGUAUAGCCGGGUUAAGUCCUAAAGAGCAUUCGUGCUAGUGAUAUAUCCGGGCUAAGUUCCGAAGAGCAUUCGUGCUAGUGAUAUAUCCGGGCUAAGUUCCGAAGAGCAUUCGUGCUAAUGAUAUAGCCGGGCUAAGUCCCGAAGAGCAUUCGUGCUAGUGAUAUAUCCGGGCUAAGUUCUGAAGAGCAUUCGUGCUAGUGAUAUAUCCGGGCUAAGUUCCGAAGAGCAUUUGUGCUAGUGAUAUAUCCGGGCUAAGUUCCGAAGAGCAUUCGUGCCAAUGAUGUAUCCGGACUAAGUCCCGAAGAGCAUUCGUGCUAGUGAUAUAUCCGUGCUAAACCCCGAAGAGCAUUCGUGCUGCUGUUAUAUCUGGGCUAGGUCCCGAAGAGCAAUCAUGCUGGUGACUUGUAGGCUUCGUGCCUAGUAGGCUUCGUGCCGGUAAUUUGAGCAAAGUUUAAGUGUUCAUUACUAUACGAAUUCAAAUUUAAAUGAGAUGAUAUGUUUAAAAGUGUACAUACAUGAUGUUUAUAGACUUGGUUAAGUCAUUUCAAUGUGUAAUAACGAAUGAAUAAGAGCACUAUGUGUGUGAAUGAUUAGAGGCACUGUGUGUGUAUGAAUUCCUUUAACCGAGCACUAUGAGUGCGAGAUCGGUCAGUGGGCACCAAGUGUGUGAAGUGGAAUUCAUGUAAGACCUCGUCUGGGACGAAGGAAUUGAUUUGAGAUAGUGUGUAAGACCAUGUCUGGGACAUGGCAUCGGCUCGAUAUGUGAGAAUAUGUAAGACCAUAUCUAGGAUAUGGCAUUGUAAGAGCUAUAUGUGCUUAAUGAGUAUCCGUAAUGAUUUCGAAUGAUUCAACGGGUAUAUUUAAGAUGAUAAAUUAAGUAAGAUCAGAAUAAGUGAUACAAGUAUGUACGGAAGGUAUGUGAAAAUCAAAUGAAAGUAAAAUUUUGUGAGUUCAUAUUAUAUUAUGUUAUGUAUACUAAAUAAGUGAAUACGUAAAAAGAUGGUGGGUAUGUUGUUAAGAAAUGAAUUCAUGUUAUAAAUGUGUUACGGAUUUAGUCUAUGGAAUGCUUGGUAUAUGAAGUCAUAUGUGCUAUUGUUAAAUGACCCCUAUCUUUUUUUUUGUUAAUCAUAUUCAAGAAAUUAUUUCGAUUAAGUUUGACAUUUGAAAGUCUGUAAACGAGCUUAGGCAAGAUGGAUUGAGCUCGAAUAAGCUGGAUUUGAGCUGGAUAGAGCUCGUGGAGCUGGAAACGAGCUUGGAUCAGCUUGCCAAAAUGUCAUUACUCGGCUUGAUAGACUUGCUCGAUAAAGUUCGCGGGGUGUGCUCGUAUCAGCUCUACUGCAAAUAUUGUUUAGUGCCGUAAUCGGUGCUAAUUCUGGUGUGUAGGGAUCGGUGGGUUGAUUAUAUCCCCACAUGGAGUGUAGGGUUUGAUGGAGAUGGUGUGUAGAGGCUGGAUGGGUAGGACUUGCAUACUGUUUACUGUUACUGCACUAUUUACUGUUACUGCACUAUUUACUGUUACUGUAACGGGCCAAGGCCCGAAUACAUGACUUUUUCUAUAAUGAGAUGGGCUAAGUCCCAAACUGAUAUUGUAACUGUUACUGACAUGAGCUUAGGCCCAGACCGUUUUUGCUCACUGUAUGUUUGACUAUUUGGUUUAAGGGAUUACACACUGAGUUUUCAUAAACUCACCCUUCUGCUUAUCUAUGCAGAUAAUCCUUAGGCGGAUCAGUGAUGCGAGGGACUCGAAGGUGGCCACACAACAGCUUACGCUUCCAUAGUUGACUUUUAAUUUAUAAGUCAUUUUAUUUGGGUAUUUUUAUGUAAUAAGGCCUCUAUAAUUUUUAAUCUUCAAUUUUGGGGUUUUAUUUAUUUUGAUUUAUAUCUAUUAGUAGUAGGAUGUGGGUUUUCAAAAGAUAUGCAUGAUUUACCAAAAUACCACGAAUACGCAAAGUAUAACGAUUUGAAAUUAAAUAAUGUUUUGAAAAUGAAUAACUUUUGGUAACAAAUGAUGUGAUUUAAUCAAAUACGCAAUAAGGUAAAGAGAUUGUUUAAAUGGUUUUAGCAGCAACUUAGUUUCAAAAGCUCCUUCAUGUGACAUCGCCAGAUUCGGCCAGAACAUCUAGGCCGGGUUUGGGGUGUUACAUUAUACAAAAUCAGUCAAAUACUAAAACAAGCCAACACAUUUGGCCCCAAAAUAAUGUGACACCAAAACAAAUUCAAGAGUUCCUAUACAUGCCAUAUUCAAAUGAUAAAACUAACUAUACCAAGUGCUCCAAGGAUAGUGUGACUGGCUUCCCCGACGUCAUCGAUAAUUCUCGAAUUACUUUGGUGGCACUAUAAGAAAAGGGAAAGGAAAGAGGGUAAGCAUGGGAGCUUAGUCAGUACAUAUAUGCAAAUAAGUGUGAUUAGAAACACAUUUUCCAAACAAUGGCUUGUCAUACUUAAAUGAUGAAUCAUUUUAUGCUCACUAUUUUGCCCUUCACUUCUUUUAUACAUACUACAUCUCAUCACAUUCAUGGUCCUAAUCGAGAGUUUAGUAUAUAGUCCUAUUCGAGAGUUUAGUAUACAUACCUGUAAUUUCGCUUAAAAUACUCAAGUUCAUUCUCUCUACUUACAUACCUCAUUGGAAGUAUCACCAACCCAUUCAUCGAGUUACCUAUUGAACACUCAGAAGUACUAAUGGAUACAUGGAUAGUUUACUCCUAAGAGUUAUACCAGUAGCCAAGGAUACCUCAUACUUUGUAAUACAUGCAUAAUUGAGCUACUCACGGGUCUUUUUACCAAGUCAGUACCCAGACCCCAUAGCUCUGUCAUGUAAUGCCCGCUCAUUGAGCUACUCACAGGUCUGCACACAAAACCAGUACCCGGCCCCACAUUACAUAUUUCAGUUAUCUCAUGAACUCAGACUCAACUCAUGAGUUCAGACCACUCAAUUUCUCAUUACUCACCUUUUGUAUCCUCUAUUAUUUCCAAGGUUCAAUAGGAUUUCGUAUCUAACCUAAUGUUGUCGAACUUGUUCAUAAUGUAAGUUACUCUUAUAUCGCAUUAUUUAUACUUUCAUGGUAUUGAGUAAGAUUAUAAUACCCGAUAAAAAUAAAACAUUUAAAAAUAAGCUACAAUGAUACAUUAUUUACAUAUGUACUUACCUCGGUGCAAAAUGAUGGGAACGAGCUUAAUCCUCGUAAACUUUGUUUCUUCCCCGAUCAAGACUUGAAUCACGUUUCUCUUGAUCUAAAAUGUCAAAAAUUAGCUUAUUUUUAACACCUCAAACCCAGCCUAGACAUUAUGGCCGAAUCUGUAAUGUCACACUAAAGUGUAUUUUGAAAAGCGUUGUUCUGUUCGAAAAGUCCAUACUAUAUUAAAGCCCUCGUAGUGAUCUUUUACAAAACUUUUAAGUAAUAAAAAAAAGCUCUAGUAGAUUUAGCAAAUGUUUAAUCAUUUUAGGUUGCUACUACCCUUUAAAGACAUUGUUUAUUACAGAAGCUUUUGAAAUAUAUUGUAAUGGCGUGGUGUUUUGAAAACAUUUAUCCUUUAAAAAUUCACGCCCUACUACUAGCAGAUAUAAAUCAAAGUAAGUAACCCCAAAUUAAAGUAAAAUCUAAAAAGGCUUAUUACAUAAGAAAAACCCAAAUGAAAUACCUUUAAGAUUAAAAGUUUAAAACAGUAGCAAAAGCAGUUUGUGGCCUCCAUCGAGUCCUACGUAGCACUGACCCACCUAAGGAUUACAUGCACAAGAGAGCAGAAGGGUGAGCUUAUGAAAAACUCAAUAUGCAUUCCCUUUUAAAUAAUCAACCAAUCAGUAGGCAAAUACAGUUUGGGCCUAAGCCCGUUUCAGUGGCAGUCCAGUAUCAAUGUGGGCCUUAUCCCAUUACAGUAGUAGUAUCAUUGUGGGCCUUAGCCCAUUACAGGAACAAUAUCAAAAAUACAAACAGAAGUCCUACCCAUCCAUCCUCUACACUCCACUCCGUCCAGCCCUACACUCUAUGUGGGGAUAAAAUCAACCCACCCAUCCCUACACUCCAAAUAUAGCAUCGAUUGCGGCACUAAAUAGUAUUUGCAGUAGAGCUGCUAGUACAGUACACUUCCUCCAAAUAUAUCAACCCACCCCCAUACAACAUGCGAUGUCAUAAAAUAAUACGUGUAAGCAAAAUGUCAUGCGCGAAUACAGCAAAACAUAUCAUAGGGGUAUAUAAGUUAUUUUACCUCUUAGGGGUAUAACAUUCAUUUCAUCAGUAUAGGGUCUACUCGUACUUACCAACCCAACAGUAGGUCCACAGUCAUCUCGGGCGACCCAUGCAACCUUAACAGUCAAAUAGUAAAAAUGGGCCCAAAGCCCAUAACACGGCCCAUGCGGGCCUACACCCCCGUCUGGCCCAAUAAGUAUAAAAAUUGGCCUUGGCAAUGCGAACUACAUAGCCUGGCCAAAUAAUCUCCACACGUCCGUGUGGUUUACCUGUACGAGCCCGUGGGGCCCACAUGGCCCAUUUCGGCCCAACGUGGCUGAAAAUGGACUAAGCCCAUAAAAUCGCUCAUGGUGGCCUCUACUGUCAAAUGCCCACGUUUUAUGUGUUCGGAUCACCACACGAGCGAGCGCACACUCGUAUAGCGUUUAUGGACAUGUUUUUCGGCUUUUGCCAUUUAACAGUUAUUGCAGUGUGAUUACACACCUGAUGUUAAAAGUGCGCAAAUCUCCACGAAUGCCAAACGUAAAUUCAAUCAUGACCCAAAGUCAGUCCUUUAAUCAUUAAAGUUAACACCCACUUAAUAGCACCUAGUCCUCAAAAUGGUAAUUGUUACCUACCUUGAAUAAGCAAGAACAGUUUAUGUCACUUAAACCACUGAUUGAAGUUGCCUUCCAGAACCUUGGAAAAAUUUGCAUUGAAUCCCAAUCUAGUUAACUAUAACUAUGAACGUAAAUGGCUAGAACCAAGUGAGCAGCAACUUACUACCACACAGAAGUAAUCGGCCUAAAAGGGACACUCUAAAAUCGAGACAUGAGAAAAAAUAGUCACACCCCUGUCAGAAAUGGCAAAUAAAAGGCAGUGUUAAAGAGGAAGCCUAUUUCAACAAAGAGAAAGAGGAAAAAGAAUAGCCGUGAACCCUAACAGAGAUGGCGACAACAGCAGAAUCUGGCUAUAAGCGUAACGCCCCAAUUUUUGGGACUUUUGUAAAUUCUGGUGAAUUUUAGAACUUUUGUGUUUUGACUGUUUGGCGUAGGUUUAAUUAUGUUAGUGGGCCUCUAGAAGGCCCAAGUUUAAUAUUAAGUUUAGGGUUUAAUUAAUUUUGAUCCAUAAGGGAAAAGGGGGUUCUGGUUAACAGGGGUCUUAAAUAUUAUUUGGGUAAAAUAAGACAUAAGGAAGUAAGUGGCAAAGUGGCAUGUGGUGCCACUGGGAAGGCUAUAAAAGUGGCGUGUAGAAGUGUAGAAAGAGCCCAAGUUCGAGCCGCAGGACAAGCAAAUAAGGUGUUUAUUUUUUGUACACAAAAAAGGGAGGUGAUGGAACUCAAGGGGGAACUCUGUUAGGGAGAGUUUAAGAUGAUAAGGGGAUUGAGUAAGGAUAAAGAUAAGGGAGGAAAUCUAGGAGCUAAUCAAGGAGCAAGAGGUGGCCGGCCAAGGGACUUUAGCAUGGGAAAUUAGGCUAGGGUAAUGCUUGUGUUAAUUCAGCACAAGGGGUAAGUGAGCCGUUUUCUGAUCACUCUUCCUCUCCUUUUAUUUUUCUUUUUCUCUCCAUUUGUAUUCUUUUCUUCUUCUUUUCCCCAUAGCUGAAUCCUUCAGCCACCUUACUCUAUACCACCUUCCUUCCAUUAUUUUUAAGACUGUAGCUGAUUGCCUCAAAUCCCGAAAUCCCGAAAACUUGAUUCCUCUUAUACCGAUUUCCCUAGCCAAUUCUCUUAUUUUUUUUCUCAUCAUCUUUGGCUGAUUCUCUCAUCCUCUAAACCCCAAGUUUCUAUCGACUAUACCACAGUAAAACCCUCAUAUUUUAGCUUUCUCUACACGAUUGCAAGAAAGCCAAAAAUCCCACACUAUCCUAGGGACAUAGCCGAAUACUGUGAUCACUGAAGGCUCGACUUUUGUUAUCGAUUGAGGGAUUAAAGCUACAACAGAAUCAAGUAGGAACUAAGGGAGGAUGCUGACUGAAAGAAUCGGUGGUAAGUCUUCCCAACUUAGUCUAUCUUUCGUAUUUUAAGAAAAGCCAGAAUCCCUAAAAGUUAGGGAGGUUAUCAUUUUUGGACUUGUAGCCCUAAGAGGUUGUGGUAACAGUAUUAAUUUGGUAAUAGUGUGAUUAAGAGGCUGUUGAUCAAGGGCUUGGACAAGUGGAGCGAACAGAUCUGGAUCGAGAUGCUGCUUUCGGCAAAGGUAGGAACGCUAAGGCCUAAGGAGUUAUUGGCCAAAUAUGGUAAGGAGUUAGUAUGUAGUUCAUUUCGGUAGUUAGAUUAACGUGGUAGUAGUAUAAUUGUAGGCAGUUCGUGUGUGGAUCUCGUCAAUGAAUCGUCACAAAUCAGGUGUGUAACUGACACCCUCUCAUAGACUAGAUUGGCAAAAGCCGAAAAGUCGAAAUGCCGAAAAGUUGGUAUUUUGGGAAUUUACGAGUGUGCGAAUGCUCGCAAGAUAGCUGGGUUUGUAUAUUUGGUAAUCUAAAGUAACAAACUACAGUACACGCGAUUUCGUGCAUUUUGAUAAUUUGGGCUUAAUGGCUAAAAAUCGGGUUCAUGGGCCAACGGGCCCAAUUCGGUAAGUAUGCACGGUAAGUGUUCUGAUGGUACGUAAAUGGUUAGGUUAUGCAUGAAACCCUAAAAGUAGCUAAAUUACUAUAAUACCCUUAUGUAUGAAAAAUUACCAUGAUACCCCUGGGUGUAAAUGAUCGAUAUGCCCCUAGGGUUAAUUUUGUCUGAAAAGCAUGUUGAUUUAAAUCUGUAUGUUGUAUGCCAUGAAUGAAUCUUUGUUGCAUGGGGACAUGGGUUAUAUUAUGGAGGAAGCGUCCUGGUGGCUAUGCCACAAAUUAUCUGAUCUGGUGGCUCUGCCACAUAUAUCUGUUCUGGUGGCUCUGCCACGAUUAUCUGUAUCUAGUGACUCUGUCAUAUUAUCAGUUUUGGCAGCCAUGCUGCAUAUUUCUGAGGCGUGUAGCGGUUGGGUGGGUCGAGUAGUCUCCCCACAUGGUGAAAGGUUGGUAAGGGGGUGUAUGUGGUUGGUUAUGGGUUGGGUUCUGCAUAUACAUGAAAUAUUUGAUCAGAUCUGUUAUGGGGCUAUAGGCUUAAUUCUGUGUACUGUUUUGGGCUAAGGCCAAUUUAUUCUGUUUCUAUGGUUUGAACUGAUAUGGGCUAUGGUUGGGUUAAUUUUACACACUGAGUUUCCCCAAACUCAUCCCCUAUCUUCAUCCAUGCGAGUAACCCCCAACCAUAGUGGGCUUGGAGUUACGAGGGAUUCGGAGUGGCCACUCGUUCUGCAAUAUGGUUUUCUUCUGGUGAAUUGGACUUCAUUUUUCAUUUACUUUGAUGAUUUGGGUUUUAUUAUGUAAUAAGGCCACUCUAUUAUUUUUUUAUGGGUUUGGUUUAUAUAUUAUUAUGAUGACCUUAAUUUAUAUUAACUAUCAGAAUGGGCUAGAUCUAGGGUUCGUUUUCAAAAACAUAAAUUGAUUUCAAAGUGACACGAUCUCAAACAAGGCUUCUUCUAUGGUAAUGUUUUUUUCAAAAUUAAAUAUGUUUUACUUUAAAAUGAACAUAAUUACAAUGGAAACCUAAAGAAAUGCAUGAUGUUAGAGUGUGGCAAUGGCGGUGUGCAUGUCUAGGAUUGGAUCCGAAAGAGCUUGGUACUUAAGCAGUCUGAUGGACUCACCUCCUCUUUUCCAGUUUCCUACCUGGUGCACAGCUUCCAUUCUAUUUAACCCUUAAUGAAUUAGCCCUUUGAACAUCAAGUACAAUUUCCUGGACUAAGAAUAGAAAAAAUGUUUUUAACGUUUGAUGUGGCACAUCGGAUUCGGUCAUAAUGUCUAGGCUGGGUUUGGGGUGUUACAUUUAGUGGUAUCAGAGCCAAGUUGCAACAACUCGGCUGUGGAAUGGGUUUACAAAAACAACGAUUUUUGAAAAAAAAAUUCUCAAUUUUUAAAUUUUGGAUCUUUUGAAGGUGGUAUUCUGAAUCUCCGGCCCAAGCCUGUAAGUAUCAUUUUGAAUUUCUUUGAAUAUUUUCUUGGAUUGUCUAUCUGUACUGAAACUCUGCUAGGAUACCCUAGAUAGGGUGAUACUAAAACCAUAGGAAAAUUUGAUAAGAGACUGAAACUGUAGCUAGACUUCGGUUCUGCGAAAACAAUCUCUGAAAUACUGUCUGAUUCAUAAAACAUCUAUAAUAAACGUUGGAAUGAUAUUAAUGCAUAAAAUUCAUAAUCAGAUAAUACGAUAUGAGUACAAGAUCCACUCGUGGAAGAGGCCAUGGACGUGGUCGUGGAAGGGCUCGAGUGGGAUCUUCGUCUUCGGGACAUAUGCCGGCGGCAGAUGCACCGGUACCAUCGGCAACGGAAGUGGAGUCUCAUGAUCGUAGUACCGGGGAUGACGCCCUAUCACAGGCAAUGCUUCAUUUUCUAGAAAGGGUUGCCGGGGCAAGUACGGGCAACGGAGUUCAGGGAUCCAUUUCUGAACGGUUCCGGGCCAACGGAGCAGAGAUCUUUAAGGGUGUGUCCAGUGUAGCCCCAAAUGUGGCAGAAUAUUGGUUGGAGGCCGCGGAACAGAUUAUGGACGACUUGGACUGCUCAGUGGAGCAGAAGCUGAAAGGAGCCGUACCGUUGCUACGAGACGAGGCCUAUCAGUGGUGGCUCACUGUGGGAGAAGGGACCCCAGCUGAUAGGGUAACUUGGGAACUGUUUAAGACAGCCUUUAAAGGCAAGUAUGUUAGGGCAAGUUAUAUGGACACUCAUAGGAAGGAAUUCCUGAAUCUGGUGCAAGGAGGUAAAAUAGUUGCUGAGUACGAGGCCGAGUUUAUGAGGUUGAGCCGAUAUGCAGUGGGCAUAGUUGCUACGAAAUAUGAGCGAAGUGUGCGCUUCGAGGAUGGUCUUAGGAAUGACCUGAGGGUGUUGAUUGCUCCGCAGAGGGAGCGGGACUUUGCGGUCCUAGUGGAGAAGGCAAAGAUAGCAGAGGAGGUUAAGCGGGCUAAAAAGUAGAAUCAGGAGAAGGAUCGAAACUAUUUUUGGAGGGAUUCAGGACCCUCGGGUGGCGCUAAUAGGAAUGUUAAGAGAGCAAGAGUGGAGGAACCAGUUUGAGCAGUGCCGAUGAAUGUGGUUAGACCACCAAUCUGUGGAGACUGUGGUAAGGUACAUUUGGGCGAGUGUAGGAAAUGCUCUGGUGCUUGUUUCCGAUGUGGAUCUAUGGAGCAUAGAGUUAAGGACUGUCCUCAGAGAGCUGAUCAGGCUCAGGUUGUUGUACAAGGGGUUGCUCAACCCAUGAGAGGUGGACCACAACCACCGAGAGGAUGUGGACAAGGUAGGAAUGGAAAUGGAAAUGGUCGAGGUCGAGGGGCACCUGGCAUAGGUGCCAGAAAUGCUGAAGCUCGACAACCAGUAUUGGUGUAUGCAGCUCGACGUCGAGAGGAGGCCGACGCACCUGACGUCAUAACUGGUACGUUUUUGGUUUCUGGUUUGCCAUAUACUGCUUUGGUGGAUAUUGGAUCUACUCAUUCCUAUGUUGCAUGUGCCAUAUCUGGGUCGUUGGGUGUGCACUCUGAGAAGAUUGUGAGUGGGGUAUCUAUGUUAAGUCCUUUAGGUUAUUCGGUUAGGGUAGACAAACUGUAUAGGGAUGUACCCUUAGAAACUCAAGGUAGGAUUUUCCUUGGAGAUCUGAUGGAGUUACCGUUUGGAGAGUUUAAUCUUAUUCUGGGAAUGGACUCGCUUGUUAAGCAUAAGGUGACUGUAGAUUGUGCUGCUAAACGAAUGGUGUUAAGGACUAUGGAGGAUAAGGAGGUCAUGGUGAUAGGUAAGCGAAGGGAUUAUUUGUCUAAUGGGGUGUCGGUAUUGAGGGCCGAAAAAUGGAUUCGGAAAGGUUGUAGGCCUAUUUGGCAUUUGUAAGCCAGUCGAAAGAGGAAGGACUGAAAGUGGACAAGGUUAGGACUGUAAAGGAAUUCCAAGAUGUGUUUCCAAAGGAGCUUCCAAGAUUACCUCCAAACCGGGAAAUGGAGUUUGGAAUCAACUUGUUGCCUGGAACGGUGCCAGUGUCUAUCGCACCAUAUAGGAUGGCACCGAAAGAGUUGGUAGAGCUGAAAGCUCAAAUUCAAGAGUUGUUGGAUAGGGUCUUCAUUAGGCCAAGCGUGUCUCCAUGGGGUGCACCGGUGCUAUUCGUGAAAAAGAAGGAUGGUACAAUGCGGAUGUGCAUCGAUUAUCGCCAAUUGAACAAACUGACGAUUAAGAAUAAGUAUCCACUGCCAAGGAUUGACGAUCUGUUCGACCAGCUUAGAGGAGUGUCUGUAUUUUCCAAGAUUGACCUUCGAUCUGGAUAUCAUCAGUUAAGGGUCAAGGAGGAAGAUAUCCAUAAGACGAUGUUCAGGACUCAGUAUGGUCAUUACGAGUUUAUGGUUAUGCCAUUUGGGCUGACGAAUGCUCCUGCAGCGUUUAUGGAUCUGAUGAAUCGUGUGUUCCAACCAUUUUUGGAUCAAUUCGUAGUCAUCUUUAUUGACGAUAUUCUGGUAUAUUCUGAAACUGAAGCAAAGCAUGAUGAGCAUCUCCUUGUAGUGCUACAAUUGUUAAGGGAGAAGGAACUUUAUGCGAAGUUUAGCAAGUGUGAAUUUUGGUUGAGAGAGGUAACUUUCUUAGGACAUGUGGUCUCUGCUGAGGGGAUUAAGGUGGACCCUCGAAAAAUUGAAGCGGUUUUGGAGUGGAAGCUGCCUAGGUCGGUGUCGAAAAUUGGAAGUUUCCUAGGAUUGGCAGGAUACUACAGAAGGUUUGUGGAAGGUUUUUCUGUGUUGGCAGCACCUCUGACAAAACUCGUAAGGAAAGGAGUACCGUUUGUAUGGACUGAGAAGCAGCAGGAAGCUUUUGAUAAGUUCAAGAAAGUUUUGACUGAAGCACCUGUGUUAAUUCAGCUGGAGUCUGGGAAGGAUUUUACUGUGUAUAGUGACGCAUCACAUGUAGGUUUGGGCUGCGUGUUAAUGCAGGAGGGUAAGGUGGUUGCAUAUGCAUCACGACAGCUUAAGCCUCACGAGGGGAACUAUCCUACUCAUGAUUUGGAGUUGGCGGCAGUGAUAUUUGCACUUAAGAUAUGGAGACAUUAUUUGUACGGGGAGAGGUGUAUUAUGUACACAGAUCACAAGAGUCUUAAGUAUUUGUUGACUCAGAAGGAGCUGAACCUUAGGAAAAGGAGAUGGAUUGAGUCGCUUAAGGAUUAUGACUGUUUGAUCGAGUAUCACCUAGGCAAGGCUAAUGUGGUAGCCGACGCUCUAAGUCGUAGAACUGUAUCUGAUCUGAGAGCAAUGUUUGCUCGUCUGAGUCUGUAUGAUGAUUGAAGUCUGUUGGUUGAGUUGCAAGUAAGGCCAACCUGGGUGGAUCAGAUUAAGGAAAAGCAGUUGAACGAUGAGUCUUUGGUUACUCGUUUUCAAAAAGUUAAGGAAGGGGAAACUUCUAAGUUUGGGUUAAAUGGCGAAGGAGUUCUGUGUUUCCGAGGAAGAAUUUUUGUUCCGAAGGACUCUGACUUGAGGCAGGCAAUAUUGAAGGAAGCUCAUGGGGGACUAUGUGCCAUGCAUCCUGGAGGGAAUAAGUUGAAUCACGACUUGCGAGAAUUUUACUAGUGGCCUGGGCUUAAACGAGAAGUAACAGAAUUCUUGGGGAAAUGCCUGACAUGCCAGCAAGUGAAAGCUGAGCAUCAAUUACCUUCUAGACUGUUGCAGCUAGUGAAAAUACCACUUUGGAAGUGGGAGAGGGUAACAUGGACUUUGUGAGUGGGUUGCCUUUGACACCAUCGAAGAAAGACUCCAUUUGGGUGAUUGUGGAUAGGUUGACCAAAUUGGCACAUUUCAUACCAGUACGUACUGACUUUUCGCUUCAAAAUUUAGCCAAGUUCUUUGUGGCAGAGAUUGUACGACUUUAUGGAGUCCCAGUUUCGAUUAUCUCUAACCGGGAUCCCAGAUUCACAUCUCGGUUUUGGCAAAGGUUGCAUGAGGUGUUGGGGACGCGGUUGAACUUCAGUACGGCUUUCCAUCCCCAAACUGAUGGUCAGUCGGAAAGGGUCAUUCAGAUUCUGGAGGACAUGUUAAGGGGAUGCGUGAUUGACUUUCAAGGUAGUUGGGAGGAUUACUUGCCGUUGGCAGAAUUUGCAUACAAUAACAGUUAUCAGGCGAGUAUUCGAAUGGCACCGUAUGAAGCACUGUAUGGACGAAGGUGUCGUACACCUAGUUAUUGGACGGCGUUAGGGGAGUGACAAGUUCUUGGACCGGAAUUGGUGGCAGAUACUGAGGCUAAGGUCAGAAUAAUUAGGGACCGUUUGAAAGAAGCAUCUGAUAGGUAAAAAUCGUAUGCAGAUUUGAAGCGUAAGGUGAUUGAGUACUCAGUAGGGGAUAUGGUCUUCUUAAAGGUUUCUCCUUGGAAGAAGAUAUUAAGGUUUGGUAAGAAAGGCAAGUUGAGUCCGCGGUUCAUUGGGCCUUAUCAAGUUUUGAAGCGAGUAGGCCCAGUGGCUUAUCAGUUGGAAUUGCCUCCAGAACUAGACAUGAUUCAUAAUGUUUUUCACGUCUCCAUGUUACAGUGCUAUCAUUCUGAUCCUGCUCAUAUCGUGCUAGUUGCAGAAAUCGAUGUUCAAAUUGAUUUAACCUUUGAGGAGGAGCCUGUGCAAAUAUUGGCUCGAGAUGUUAAGGUCCUCAGAAGGAAAUCUGUCCCAUUAGUGAAAGUGCUUUGGCGUAAUCAUGGCAGAGAGGAAGCUACGUGGGAGCUAGAAAAGGCGAUGCUACAGCAAUACCCUCAUCUGUUUAAAUCAGGUAAAAUUUAGAGGACGAAAUUUCUUUAAGGAGGGUAGAGUUGUAACGCCCCAAUUUUCAAGACUUCUAUGAAUUUUGGUGAAUUUUAGAAUUUCUGUGUUUUGACUGUUAGGCAUAGGUUUAAUUAUGUUAGUGGGCCUCUAGAAGGCCCAAGUUUAAGAUUAAGUCUAGGGUUUAAUUAAUUUUGAUCCAUAAGGGAAAAGGGGGUUCUGGUUAACAGGGGUCUUAAAUAUUAUUUGGGUAAAAUAAGACAUAAGGAAGUUAGUGGCAAAGUGGCAUGUGGUGCCAUUGGGAAGGCUAUAAAAGUUGCGUGUAGAAGUAUAGGAAGAACCCAAGUUCGAGCCGCAGGACAAGCAAAUAAGGGGUUUAUUUUUUGUACACAAAAAGGGUAGGUGAUGGAACUCAAGGGGGAACUCUGUUAGGGAGAGUUUAAGAUGAUAAGGGGAUUGAGUAAGGAAAAAGAUAAGGGAGGAAAUCUAGGAGUUGAUCAAGGAGCAAGAGGUGGCCGGCCAAGGGACUUUAGCAUGGGAAAUUAGGCUAGGGUAAUGAUUGUGUUAAUUCGGCACAAUGGGGUAAGUGAGCCGUUUUCUGAUCACUCUUCCUCUCUUUUUAUUUUUCUUUUUCUCUCCAUUUGUAUUCUUUUCUUAUUCUUUUCCCCAUAGCUGAAUCCUUCAGCCACCUUACUCUAUACCACCUUCCUUCCAUUAUUUUUAAGACUGUAGCCGAUUGCCUCAAAUCCUAAAAUCCCGAAAACUUGAUUCCUCUUAUACCGAUUUCCCUAGCCAAUUCUCUUAUUUUUUUUCUCAUCAUCUUUGGCCGAUUCUCUCAUCCUCUAAACCCCAAGUUUCUGUCGACAAUACCAUAGUAAAACCCUCAUAUUUUAGAUUUCUCUACACUAUUGCAAAAAAGCCAAAAAUCCCACACUAUCCUAGGGACAUAGCUGAAUACUGAGAUCACUGAAGGCUGAACUUUUGUUAUCGUUUGAGGGCUUAAAGCUGCAAUAGAAUCAAGUAGGAACUAGGGGGCGCUGACUGAAAGAAUCGGUGGUAAGUCUUCCCAACUUAGUCUAUCUUUCGUAUUUUAAGAAAAGCUAGAAUCCCUAAAAGUUAGGGAGGUUAUCAUUUUUGGACUUGUAGCCCUAAGGGGUUGUGGUAACAGUAUUAAUUUGGUAAUAGUGUGAUUAAGAGGCUGUUGAUCAAGGGCUUGGACAAGUGGAGAGAACGAAUCUGGAUCGAGACACUGCUUUCAGCAAAGGUAGGAACGCUAAGGCCUAAGGAGUUAUUUGCCAAAUAUGGUAAGGAGUUAGUAUGUAGUUCAUUUCGGUAGUUAGAUUAACGUGGUAGGAAUAUAAUUGUAGACAGUUCGUGCAUGGAUCUCGUCAGUGAAUCAUCACAAAUCAGGUGUGUAACUGACACCCUCUCAUAGACUAGAUUGGCAAAUGCCGAAAAGCUGAAAUGUCGAAAAGUCGGUAUUUUGGGAAUUUACGAGUGUGCGAAUGCUAGCAAGAUAGCUGGGUUUGUAUAUUUGGUAAUCUAAAGUAACAAACUGCAGUACGCGCGAUUUCGUGCAUUUUGAUAAUUUGGGCUUAAUGGGCCAAAAAUCAGGUUCAUGGGCCAACGGGCCCAAUUCGGUAAGUAUGCACGGUAAGUGUUCUGAUUGUACGUAAAUGGUUAGGAUAUGCAUGAAACCCUAAAAGUAGCUAAAUUACUAUAAUACCCUUAUGUAUGGAAAAUUACCAUGAUACCCCUGGGUGUAAAUGACCGAUAUGCCCCUAGGGUUAAUUUUGUCUGAAAAGCAUGUUGAUUUAAAUCUGUAUGUUGUAUGCCAUGAAUGAAUCUUUGUUGCAUGGGGACAUGGGUUAUAUUAUGGAGGACGCGUCCUGGUGGCUAUGCCACAAAUUAUCUGUUCUGGUGGCUCUACCACGAUUAUCUGUAUCUGGUGAUUCUGUCAUAUUAUCUGUUCUGGAAGCCAUGCUGCAUAUUUUUGAGGAUGUAGCGGUUGGGUGGGUCAAGUAGUCUCCCCACAUGGUUAAAGGUUGGUAAGGGGGUGUAUGUGGUUGGUUAUGGGUUGGGUUCUGUAUAUACAUGAAAUAUCUGAUCUGAUCUGUUAUGGGCCUAUGAGCUUAAUUCUGUAUACUGUUUUGGGCUAAGGCCAAUUUAUUUUGUUUCUGUGGUUUGAGCUGAUAUGGGCUAUGGUUGGGUUAAUUUUACACACUGAGUUUCCCCAAACUCAUCCACUAUCUUCAUCCAUGCAGGUAACCCCCAACCAUAGUGGGCUUGGAGUUGCGAGGGAUUCGGAGUGGCCACUCGUUCUGCAAUAUGGUUUUCCCUAGGGAUCCCAAAUGGGGGAACCUAGGGGAGCCACCGACUCCAACUACCGUCCAUGUACGAUCCAUACUAGAUCUGACCUACCGCCCAUCCUACCUUUUCUACGUUCUUGAAUAUUGAAUGAAUUGAUUGUAAAUUAUGAGAUUUUGCGACUUCUGCCCCUUGUGAGUAAGAUAUUAAUCGUAAGGAAAAUGGAAUUUCCACAAUGACUGCAAAUCCUACCACUAUCAUUUGAGAAUACAAAUUAUUGUUGUGCCCAAAAACCGGAUUUUGGUUGGAAUCAUUAGCAGAACUAAUCAAACGAUUCUGUUGAUCCAUUCGAAGAAUUAAACGUUUCACAAUUAGUGAACUGAAUUUAUUACCAUAACCUUGAUUUUCAAAAAAAUCAUCGAUUUAUUUAAACUAUGCUCAUGAGCAAGUGCAUAAAUAUACUCCUGAAAAAUAAGUGGGUAUAGGAAAUCGUGCCGGUGGGAUCUAUUUAGUUCUAAAUAUACUUGAAAUUCCUCCAUUUCAAAUUCGAUUUGAACCAAAGAUAGGGGAUCUAUUCGGUUAUUAAAUGAUACAUAGUGCGAUACAGUCAAAACAAGGUAUUAUAUAGUAAGAAAAGAAUAGAUACCUCGGAGACAGGCGGAUUCAUCAACGGAUUCUCUAUCCUAUCUUUUGCCAUCUAAUUGAUUUAUGUUCGUUAUAGGAUAAGAAGACGGUUAGAAAUCCUUUAUUUUUUCAACCCAAUCGCUCUUUUGAUUUUGGAAAAAAAUAUCUUUUCUUUAUCAAUAUACUGCUUCUUCUACACAUUCAUGGCUAACCCAUAAAGGGAUUGCCUAAUAAUACUAAUUAGGACUCAUAAAAAAAUCGAUAAUUUACUCAUGAGAAAAACCUUUACCACAUUAGGCACUAAUUUAUUUUUAACGUUUAAUUAGAUCAGGUAAUCAUUCAAAUUGAGAACAGAAUCUUGUUCCUUUUUGUUUCCCUAUAAUUGGGGCCGUAGAGCUCUAUCCAUUUAUUCACUCGACCCAACUUUGAAUUCAA
rnacentral:lncRNA from 1 species